rnacentral:rRNA from 1 species
CACGUAGGGCGCAAGCGUUGUCCGGAAUUAUUGGGCGUAAAGAGCUCGUAGGCGGUCUGUUGCGUCCGCUGUGAAAACUCGGGGCUUAACCCCGAGCCUGCAGUGGAUACGGGCAGACUAGAGGUAGGUAGGGGAGAAUGGAAUUCCCGGUGUAGCGGUGAAAUGCGCAGAUAUCGGGAGGAACACCGGUGGCGAAGGCGGGUCUCUGGACAGUUCCUGACGCUGAGGCGCGAAGGCCAGGGGAGCAAACGGG